AGCAGAAGAACGUCCCUUUCACGGCAGAUUUUUCAUGCUAGAAUCCAAAAACUUCAAUUAGGUUGGAAUCAAUUUCAAAUUUCAAAUUUCAAAUUCUUCCUCUCUUCAAUAUCAUAACUCCCUUUCUUUCUCAUGGAUUUCAAUUCUUCUCUCAUCAUCUCUCUCAUCCUCUCUGAUAUCUUCACCACCACCAACACCUUCGCUGCCGUCACUUUCUUUCUCAUUGAUUUCAUUAAGUUCUCUUCUCAAUCAAAUCCUCCACUAGGUUCACUUCCAUUGCAAUCUUCAGAAGUCACAAAACCUUAUGAACAUACUUUAUGGAUUUGAUGUAUAAGCAUGAAGGUUUCUUCAGCUUCUUCAUAUAGAAAGGUUCCGAAAUUAGGGUUUGAUUGGGUUUACAAAUUAGGAUUUGACUGGGUAAGUUUUAUAAAGUUUAAUUGAUUAAAGAAAAAUAUAGCAACACUAUGCCUCUCUUGAUUGUAAGUACUAUUUAUGUUCUUACCUUGACAAUCAUAUAUAUCAUGUUUUUUUGUUCUUCAAUUGGUUGUGGUUAUUAGAUGGAAAAUUUAGUUACACUAGAUAAUUAGGAUUUUAUUUAAUUAUAUAUUUAUUAGGAUUUGUUUCUAUGUUUUAGUUAAUAAUCUCUACCUUUUAGGAGUUGUUAGUGGGAUUUAGAUGGUUUUCUCCACCACAAUAUGAUCGAUUUGUUUUUGUUAAAUUUUAGAUUUGUAUCAAUUUUUUUUUUUGGAUUUGAUUUGUUUCAAUUUUAAUUUGUUUUAUUUGUUAUUUGUAAACUUUAAUUGAGGAGAAAACCAAAUUGAUAUACCAGUAGUUUUCAUAAGAUUUUUUUUUUCUAAAUUUUAAUUUUUUAUUUCAAAAUUUUAAUUUCAUUCGAUCUAUAAACUUUUUUAUAAGUAAUAAGUUAGUUUGAUUGAAUGUAUUUCUUCUCCAUGAACAUUAAAACAAAUGAGAGACAGAAGCAUGGUUGUAAGUUGUAACGUCCUUUUCAUCUGUCUCUCUCAAAAGCCAAAUGUUGCCGCGCUAAUACCUGUUUUAUAUGUUGCUACUAUUGUUGUAUUUCUGCUUUGUUGGAAUCAAUUUCAAAAUUCAAUUUAUCCCACUCUUUUUCAAUAUCUAAACUCACUUUCUUACUCAUCUCUCUCCAUUUUUUGUUGAUUCCUUUGAACUUCGUCUCUCUCCAUGAAUCAACCAUCUUGGAUGGCACAAACCACAAUCUUCAAAGGUUUUCUUCUCAAUCUUCUCAAUCUAAUCCUCCAACCUGUUUCAAGACCCAUCCCACAGUAAAGUUUUGAUACCUGAUCGAAGGAAUCGCUCUCUCUCGCAUGACACAAUCAGAGAUUUUGUUAAUUUCGAAAGUUGGAUCUUUUACUGCUCGAAAAAGUCAAAGAAACAGGGGUUGGAAGAAUAAAGCAGAAGAGGGGUUAUAAAGAUCGAUGGAUGUACACGGAUGAAAAUGGAAAAAAUACGGCUGAUGCGUGCCUUAUUGCUUACAAAGAUCCUUAUUCAGCUCACUUUGCCGGUAGUUUUUUCAAUGGUGCACCUAUAGUAGGUAUGCUUUUUGAGAAGAUAGAAUAAGACACUGAUGCACAUGAUAAGAACGUUGAGGGAUAAGGAGAAGAAAAAGGAAUAGAAUGGUAAAACUGAUGCAUAGUAUAGGGAGGAUCGUGUAAUGUACAUAUAUGCUAUCAUACAUUUAAAACCACACAUUCAAUUUGUUGACUCUAUAUUUGAAGAGAUUAUUAUGCAAUGACUUAAAUUUUGAAUUUGGAGUUAGACAAAAGUUAUGUAUUUUAGGGUUUUACGAAAACUAUGAUUUAAUUUUUUUCUUAUUAUGUAUUCUAUCCUUGGGCAAGUGAAUUAUGUAACCUUAGUUGUAGUAAUAACUUCAUUCUAUUUCUUAACAAGUACAUUGAAGAA